GCGUGGGGAGCCAAACCAGGAUUAGAUACCCCUGGUGGUCCCCGCCGUAAACGAUGUCGACUUGGAGGUUGUUUCCUUGAGGAGUGGCUUUCCCGGAGCUAAACGCGCUAAGUCGACCCCCCUGGGGGAGUACGGCCGCAAGGUUUAAAACUCAAAUGAAUUGACGGGGGGCCGCACAAGCGGUGGAGCAUGUGGUUUAAUUCGAUGCAACGCGAAGAACCUUACCUACUCUUGACAUCCAGAGAACUUUCCAGAGAUGGAUUGGUGCCUUCGGGAACUCUGAGACAGGUGCUGCAUGGCUGUCGUCAGCUCGUGUUGUGAAAUGUUGGGUUAAGUCCCGCAACGAGCGCAACCCUUAUCCUUUGUUGCCAGCGAUUCGGUCGGGAACUCAAAGGAGACUGCCGGUGAUAAACCGGAGGAAGGUGGGGAUGACGUCAAGUCAUCAUGGCCCUUCGAGUAGGGCUACACACGUGCUACAAUGGCGCAUACAAAGAGAAGCGACCUCGCGAGAGCAAGCGGACCUCACAAAGUGCGUCGUAGUCCGGAUCGGAGUCUGCAACUCGACUCCGUGAAGUCGGGUCGCUUGUAAUCGUCGAUCAGAAUGCCACGGUGAAUACGUUCCCGGGCCUUGUU
rnacentral:rRNA from 1 species